rnacentral:rRNA from 1 species
UACAGAGGUCUCAAGCGUUGUUCGGAUUCAUUGGGCGUAGAGGGUGCGUAGGCGGCGCGGUAAGUCGGGUGUGAAAUCUCGGAGCUUAACUCCGAAACUGCAUUCGAUACUGCCGUGCUUGAGGACUGGAGAGGAGACUGGAAUUUACGGUGUAGCGGUGAAAUGCGUAGAUAUCGUAAGGAAGACCAGUGGCGAAGGCGGGUCUCUGGACAGUUCCUGACGCUGAAGCACGAAGGCCAGGGGAGCAAACGGG